rnacentral:rRNA from 1 species
ACGUAGGGUGCAAGCGUUAUCCGGAAUUAUUGGGCGUAAAGAGCUCGUAGGCGGUUUGUCACGUCUGCUGUGAAAACUGGAGGCUCAACCUCCAGCCUGCAGUGGGUACGGGCAGACUAGAGUGCGGUAGGGGAGAUUGGAAUUCCUGGUGUAGCGGUGGAAUGCGCAGAUAUCAGGAGGAACACCGAUGGCGAAGGCAGAUCUCUGGGCCGUAACUGACGCUGAGGAGCGAAAGCAUGGGGAGCGAACAGGAUUAGAUACCCUGGUAGUCCAUGCCGUAAACGUUGGGAACUAGAUGUAGGGGCCAUUCCACGGCUUCUGUGUCGCAGCUAACGCAUUAAGUUCCCCGCCUGGGGAGUACGGCCGCAAGGCUA